CCUACAUUGAAACACUAGUUUCUGUAUGAUCAUCAAAGUUAAGCAAUAUCGAGCCUAGUCAGUACCUAAAUGGGUGACUGCUUGGGAAUAGCAGGUGCU